rnacentral:lncRNA from 1 species
UAUUCUUGUCUGAUGUAUAUGAAUCCCUUAAGGCUAUAUGGCUGUGGUUUGAUGGUCAUGGCUUGGUUCUGGAACAGGAUAGAUUAAACAGCACUGCUCCAGAGAAAUGGUUCAAUCACUACUCUUCAACCAUUUGUCCAACACACAGGCUGAGUGACAGCUGUCCGUCGGUCCCUGUGCCACUGAUUUCCAGGGAUAUCAAAACAAAUGAGUCCAGGACUCUGCCAAAGAAAACAUAGUCCCAGCACUGUAGCCUCAGACAUAAAUGUCUAACUCUGAUGUCCCACAGUUGUUAGGAAUGGACGAGUGUUGGUGAAGUGGGAAUGCAGAGAAAGUAAUAGACAGGAGUGGGGGCAACACAGUUAGCAUUUGAAAAUGGACGGAUUCUGAUUUGUUAGAGAAGAGAGAGAAAAAGGAAUGGCAGUCCAGGCAAGAGACAAAGACACAUGGAGAGCUGACAGAAGAAUAAAUAGUUUGAUCAUGUUUGAAGUGAUCCAGGAAGACGGAAACAACAUUUGCCAUUUAACCCCAGCUUAGCUGGUCAUGGACAGCCAUUGCACAGGUGGUGCUGUGUGGCCACUGGGUAUCCGUUUCUUUCUUUUAGACCUGAGCUGGAAGUGGCACUUCAGAAUCAGGACCCAAGCUAUGUAAACAGCUGCACAGGCUUCACAAUAACCUUGUUUCCCCAU